UUCAGAUGACGAUACGUCACCAUGUCUCCAUUAACCAUGAAAUAUUUAGUUCCCACAGGACUGAACCGCCAUCUUGGUAGGCAGAGCACCAACCAACAAAAAGAAAGUAUCUUGACACUUUUUACCAAUGUGUGAUACAUGAUCAAAAUGGCUGCUGUCGGGAUUGACAGACGGAGAAUGGAAACAUGUCAGACGAUAUGGAGAAGCUGCCUCCGAUCUCAUCCUACGACACAGUUCACUAGUUACUGAAGAGUGAGAUCAAUGGACGCAAACAAUCAAUGUUUAAACGGCUUUAUAAACGACGUACAAACUGUUCAGGUGAAUAACAAGGUUCUGGUGUUUAGAAUUAACGAGGAGCAGCCUCUGCACCGUCUGGCCAACAUUACAACCCCCAGAAGUCUGGAGACAAAAACGAAACAAAACGCAGGAGAGAGCCAAUCAGGGAGCAGCGGCGUCUCCGGUGACCCGCUGUCUCCUCGUUACCACGGCGACCUCGCAUCGCAGGGCGCGGGGACAGGAGAGACAGGAGCGAUGAUGUGCUGUGAAAAGUUUAAACCGGAGGGAUGAAAACAGAAGGUUUCUAUUGUUAUCCUGUUUUUAUUGUUCUCUGAUAAUCUGAGGUGUUUUUUUUGCUUUUCUCUGCAUUUUUAAUCUCUUAUCACAUCAUUUUGUUUCCUUCUUGGUCUUUUCGUUACUUUGCAUUUUUGAUUGGUUUUGUAGUCGUUUCAACAUUUUUCUCUCAUUUCACUUAACAAUUUUAAGAAGUUAUUUUGCAUAUUUUUGUGCUGCUUUAAAAAAAAAAGCAAAAGUCAGAGGUGAAUUUCAGAAGUUUUAUUAUGCUAUCAAGUACAAAAACAAACAACUAACUGAAUAACUAAAGCACAGAUGCACCGAUUACGCUUUUUAUAUCCAAUGUAAUUUUUUCUCACUUACUGUUUCUGAUUUUGGCUGUUUCCAUUUUGAUUUUCAUGUCAAAAUAAAACAUAAAAUGUGCUGCAUGUUA